UACGUAUGGAGCAAGCGUUAUCCGGAUUUACUGGGUGUAAAGGGUGCGUAGGCGGCGCGGCAAGUCAGAUGUGAAAGACCGGGGCUCAACCCCGGGGCUGCAUUUGAAACUGCGGUGCUCGAGUCCAGGAGAGGCAGGCGGAAUUCCUAGUGUAGCGGUGAAAUGCGUAGAUAUUAGGAGGAACACCAGUGGCGAAGGCGGCCUGCUGGACUGGUACUGACGCUGAGGCACGAAAGCGUGGGGAGCAAACAGG
rnacentral:rRNA from 2 species